CACCAGAAACUUUAUUUUUCCUAAAGUGAAACUGCUCCUGAAGUAAGCCCAUGCAUCAGGGCCUUCUUAGAAUGCAGAAUGCCAGGCAGUCCCUGCUCGGAGACUUCAAGUGUUAUGCAUGGUGGCACACACUUGGAAGCUCAGCGAUAGCAAGACGGGAGGUAGAGAUGGGGGAUCCCUCGAGCUCACUGGGAAUCUGAAGAAUGGCACCCAAGUUGUCCUCAUGUUUCUACAUCAUCUUCUGCGAUAUGAUCCCCCCACCCCAAGCCCGUGAAAUAAACCGAAACUCUACACCUCUCUAAAACCUGCCAUCGACUUUUAACAUCUCCCAGAAGAAUAUUUCUCUCACCUUGAGUUAGUCA
ensembl:lncRNA